UGGGGAAUAUUGCACAAUGGGCGCAAGCCUGAUGCAGCCAUGCCGCGUGUAUGAAGAAGGCCUUCGGGUUGUAAAGUACUUUCAGCGAGGAGGAAGGCGUUGUGGUUAAUAACCGCAGCGAUUGACGUUACUCGCAGAAGAAGCACCGGCUAACUCCGUGCCAGCAGCCGCGGUAAUACGGAGGGUGCAAGCGUUAAUCGGAAUUACUGGGCGUAAAGCGCACGCAGGCGGUCUGUCAAGUCGGAUGGGAAAUCCCCGGGCUCAACCUGGGAACUGCAUCCGAAACUGGCAGGCUAGAGUCUUGUAGAGGGGGGUAGAAUUCCAGGUGUAGCGGUGAAAUGCGUAGAGAUCUGGAGGAAUACCGGUGGCGAAGGCGGCCCCCUGGACAAAGACUGACGCUCAGGUGCGAAAGCGUGGGGAGCAAACA
rnacentral:rRNA from 1 species